rnacentral:rRNA from 1 species
CAGUCGCCGCGGUAAUACGAAGGGGGCUAGCGUUGCUCGGAAUGACUGGGCGUAAAGGGCGCGUAGGCGGCGGCCAAAGUCAGGCGUGAAAUUCCUGGGCUUAACCUGGGGACUGCGCUUAAUACAGGCAGUCUAGAGUGAGGAAGAGGGUUGUGGAAUUCCCAGUGUAGAGGUGAAAUUCGUAGAUAUUGGGAAGAACACCGGUGGCGAAGGCGGCUCACUGGCUCAUUCUAGACGCUGAGGUGCGAAAGCGUGGGGAGCAAACAGGAUUAGAUACCCGCGUAGUCCCUGUCUCUUAUAC